rnacentral:rRNA from 1 species
GAUGAACGCUGGCGGCGUGCCUAAUACACGCAAGUCGAGCGGACGGACGAGAAGCUUGCUUCUCUGAUGUUAGCGGCGGACGGGUGAGUAACACGUGGAUAACCUACCUAUAAGACUGGGAUAACUUCGGGAAACCGGAGCUAAUACCGGAUAAUAUUUUGAACCGCAUGGUUCAAAAGUGAAAGACGGUCUUGCUGUCACUUAUAGAUGGAUCCGCGCUGCAUUAGCUAGUUGGUAAGGUAACGGCUUACCAAGGCAACGAUGCAUAGCCGACCUGAGAGGGUGAUCGGCCACACUGGAACUGAGACACGGUCCAGACUCCUACGGGAGGCAGCAGUAGGGAAUCUUCCGCAAUGGGCGAAAGCCUGACGGAGCAACGCCGCGUGAGUGAUGAAGGUCUUCGGAUCGUAAAACUCUGUUAUUAGGGAAGAACAUAUGUGUAAGUAACUGUGCACAUCUUGACGGUACCUAAUCAGAAAGCCACGGCUAACUACGUG